ensembl:lncRNA
UUUGCAAGUACUGUGCCAAAUCAUAUGUGAAGAAUACAACAAAGAUGCAGAAUCAUCUGGCCAUGUGCAUAAAGUUCCCUCAGCGCUCACAACAAGCAACCUCUGACAAAAGUCCCUCUACUUCUAUUCAAGUAUUCUACAAGAGCGCGCAGACACACCGGUCUCUACAUUGCAGAUGAGCUGAAGACCGUCAUCAAUGACCUUGGACCACAGAAGGUAUUUGCACUGGUGACCAGACAAUGCUGCGAACAUGAAGGCUGCUUGGUCUAAAGUGGAGGAGUCCUACCCUCACAUCACAACCAUUGGCUGUGCUGCUCAUGCAUUGAAUCUGUUCCUCAAGGACAUCAUGGCACUGAAAACAAUGGAUACACUCUACAAGACAGACAAUGAAAUGGUUAGGUAUGUGAAGAGUCAUCAAGUUAUAGCAGCAAUCUACCUCACAAACAAAGUGAGAAGAAUAAGAGCACCACAUUGAAGCUGCCCAGCAACACCUGUAGGGGUGGUGUUGUCAUCAUGUUUGACAGUCUCCUGGAGGGGAAGGGGUCUCUCCAAGAAAUGGCCAUAUCACAGUCUGCCGAUAUGGACAGCCCCAUCAAGAGGAUCCUUGAUGGGGCUGUCACCAUAGCAGCAUCCACCUGUAGCAUGCGCUCCAGCAGCUAUAGCUCACUGGUCGCCCCCAAAGCCAAUUCCUCCUUUGGCCGCCUUUCCUUCCAGUUAUCUGCUACCAAUGACUGGAACGAACUGCAAAAAUCACUGAAGCUGGAGACGCAUAUCUCCCUCACUAGCUUUAAGCACCAGCUGUCAGAGCAGCUCACAGAUCACUGCGCCUGUACAUAGCCCAUCUGUAAAUAAGCCAUCCAACUCCCUCAUCCUCAUACUGUAUUUAUUUAUCUUUUUCCUUUGCACCCCAGUAUCUCUACUUGCACAUUCAUCUUCUUUACAUCUACCAUUCCAGUGUUUCAUUGCUAUAUUGUAAUUACUUUGCCACCAUGGCCUAUUUAUUGCCUCCCUUAUCUUACCUCAUUAGCACACACUGUAUAUAGACUUUUUCUACUUUAUUAUUGACUAUGUUUAUUUAUUCCAUGUGUAACUCUGUGUUGUUGUAUGUGUCGAACUGCUUUGCUUUAUCUUGGCCAGGUCGCAGUUGUAAAUGAGAACUUGUUCUCAACUAGCGUACCUGGUUAAAU